rnacentral:rRNA from 1 species
AAAAUACGGGAGGCAGCAGUGAGGAAUAUUGGUCAAUGGGCGAGAGCCUGAACCAGCCAAGUCGCGUGAAGGACGACGGUUCUAUGGAUUGUAAACUUCUUUUGUAGAGGAAUAAUGGCAGCUACGUGUAGCUGAGAUGCAUGUACUCUACGAAUAAGUAUCGGCUAACUCCGUGCCAGCAGCCGCGGUAAUUUUU